AUCCCGGAGGGCUUGUAGCUCAGUUGGUUAGAGCGCGCGCUUGAUAAGCGUGAGGUCGGAGGUUCAAGUCCUCCCAGGCCCACCAAUUAUCCAUCCAUAGAAAAGCGCUUAGAAAGUUUGACUGUUAACAGGUCAACGUUGUUUUGUAGGACGCCAAUAUUGUCUUGAAAAAGAGCUUUCUUGUAAAGUUUGAGAAAACUUGUUUAUCGCUUUUUGUAAGAUGUGGUGUUUGUCUGCUUUUAAAGCGAUCGAAACUGAAAGUGUUUCAAAGAUAAGAGUCUUGGAACAGAAGAGUCUUGGAAUAGAUAUAAGUAAUAUAGAAGUCUAGGUGGUAUUACAUAGUCUAGAGUUAGAAUUGUUCAUGAUUGGUAACAAUUUCAAUAUUGAUAAUGCUGC
rnacentral:misc_RNA from 1 species